CAGGCGUGAGCCACAGCGCCUGGCCCUAAUCUUCUUUUUUCCCCCCCAAAAAAGUUUUGCUUUAUAAAUAUGAAGAGACAGCUUUCUUAAACUCCUGAAUGCUGGAAGUAAAGAUGUUUGGGGAGCCCCAGAACUGUUCUUUCCCCUAGAUGAGAAUGCAGCUUUGAAAAUUUUGCACUUGUUUAAAAACAAACAAAAAACCUCUAAGAGAAGCCUAUCGAUGUUUGAUGCAACUUUGGUGACGGACACCCAUGUGUAACUGGAUUCCAAUUUCGCAAGUAUUUGGCCUCCCUUUCAACUCAGUGAAGACCAUCGCUAGACCAUACCUGUGCCAGAAGAGUCAAGGGCAGCAGUGAGAGGGCCAAAGGAGAAGCCAUACAGUCAAUUGCUGCAUCCUUCCUCUCUAUACAGGUGGGGAGCAACAGGAGCGACUCUGCCCCGACUUAGUGGAGGUUUUCUUGGAUAAGAGCCAGCUGCAAGACCCAAAGCCAAGGGUGUUCCAGGAAGUUCUAACUGAUCCUUUAGGAAUUCUGCAGCAUCUAUGUGGAAAUAAGAUUCCUUAGAUCUGUUCAAGAAUCACAUGUGAGAGUCAAGAAAUAGAGACCUUAUAAUUAUUUGCCAAUAAAGUACUGUGAGCCUCAGAAAAACUACACAAUGAAGUCAGACAACAAUCCUCCCCAUAAAAAGAAGAACAAAUAUUGGGGGGAAAAUUCAGUGCCCUUGUGACAGGUUUGGAAACUAACACAGAAAAGGAUUGCAUACUUACAGUUAAUCUUAACAUUUAAGAACUGUUUGUGAAACUAGACUUUUAAAUUUUUUGUGUGUGAGUUCAAAACGACACAAUUGGCACACUAACCAAUUCCUUACCCUAACUUGGUUCAAUUUCUUUCAUUGGACAGGAGGCCAUUUAGAGACAGAAUAGUGAAUGUGUUCAAGGAUUCAAGAAAAAACUAGUAUUGAUUUCCCUGAAUAGAUGCUCACAAUACAAACAGAUUUCUCAUUGCAAGACAAAGCUGUUGUGUGUCUGGUAUACAUGGAUUUCAGGACUAUUUGCUACAUUAGCAAACUUAAUUGUUUUCUCUACUGACAGAACUUCUAGAAACUAAACAGUGACCACUAAUAUUAGAUAAUGUGGUUACGAUUUUUAUCUAUACUUACCUAAGAAUCAAUAUAACCUGAUGAUAUACUAAAAAUAAUGUAGAGUUUGUAUUCAUUCUCUUAAGUGCAUUUUCUAUUAUUCACAGAACCAGAUUUUUGAGUGGUAAGAUUUUCAAAAGUAUUGUAAAAGAAAGAAGUUAUUUAUGAGUUAUAAAGUUAUAAAUUUCAAUAGCUGAAUCUCAGCUACAAACAUAGAUCCUCAUGUGUAGUAAGAAUAAUGAUUUUUUUAAGAUAUAAAUCUUUUAAAAAGCAAGCUUUGGUUUUAUUUUGGUGGGUAUCUAAGAAAAGCUGAUGUGCCCAUAGAUCAAAUAACCAAUUACAACAUUAGAUAUAAUUGAAUUAAGGGAAGGCUUUCCAUAUUUAGUUCUACUAAAAACAAUACAGAUGUCAUUUAAAUAAAAACAAGCUCCCUUUGCUAUAUGC